GAGGAUCGUAGCAGAGAAACGGGUGUUGCAAAGGCGCGAUAUUUGGAGCACAUGAUUCGU
rnacentral:misc_RNA from 1 species